AGUGGGACUGUUAGCAGCAUAGGACUGAGGAGUUGGAAGAGACCUUUAAGACAGCUGGUCAUUAUGCCGACCAGGUGUCCACGCUAAGUUUGGUAUCAAUAUGGUGGCCUCCUGGGAGCAGGAGGCCAUCAGGUUGCCUGAGGACAGAACUGGCCCAGGUCAGAAAGGGACCAGGUCAGGACUCCCGCACCAAUCGGUAGUGGGACUGUUCCUGGGCAAUAUAGCAAGAUCUUGGUUCUUAAAAGUAAAAAUACAGAACAGCUCAUU
rnacentral:sRNA from 1 species